rnacentral:rRNA from 1 species
AACAAGGUCUCCGUUGGUGAACCAGCGGA